GAUUGAUUUUCAUGAAAUUAAAGUAAAGCAGAAUUCCAUAUUACACUCAAAAUCAAGAAUUCUUGAACAAAUUGUGGGCUCUGGCAGUAGCAAGAUUUUAUUUCUGCUCUUUCCUAAAUAAAGUGGCUUCUAUCACCUUCACUGACUGUUCCUCCCCCGCUACAGCUCGGCUUCUUCCCUUUACCCGCAGCACAACCUCCGCCGCUUUCCGUCGUAAUCAUAGUGCGUCUUUCUCCGCCGGUUGGUGGGUCCUCUCUCAUUUAACACCACCUCCCUUAGAACUCUCAGUUAACACCACCUCCCUUAGAACAGUUAGUGUUGGGUCUUCACCAACUACUCAAUCGCCAGCCAUCAAUGCUUCAUUGGCGAGCGAGACGGGUGCUAAGGUGAUUGAUGGGAAGAUGAUGGGUAAGAAAAUAAGGGAGGAGAUAAGUGCUGAAGUAUCAAGGAUGAAGGAUGAAAUUGGCGUUGUUCCCGAGUUGGCUGUUAUUCCCGGGUUGAUGAUCCUUCCAUUCAUGGCAUCCUUGUGCAGUUGCCUCUUCCUUCCGUAUGCUUCUGAGUUUGAUUACUUUGCCUCUUCAUUCAUGGCUGGAGAAGAACAAGGCGAUGGCCGGAGAAGCAGCUCUUCUCCGGCCUCCAUGGCCGGAGAAUAAAAAAUUAGAAUUAAAAAAAAAUUAUUAGGAUGUAUUUGAAACUUUUUUAAAUUAAAGGAUUUGUUUGUAUUUUUUUUAAAUUGAAAAAAGUAAUAUAAAGCCCUUAUAUUUAGUUA